rnacentral:rRNA from 1 species
UCGAGCGAGAAGACGUAGCAAUACGUUUGUAAAGCGGCGAACGGGUGAGGAAUACAUGGGUAACCUACCCUCGAGUGGGGAAUAACUAGCCGAAAGGUUAGCUAAUACCGCAUACGACUCCUGGUCUGCGGAUCGGGAGGGAAAGCGAUACCGUGGGUAUCGCGCUCUUGGAUGGGCUCAUGUCCUAUCAGCUUGUUGGUGAGGUAACGGCUCACCAAGGCUUCGACGGGCAGCUGGUCUGAGAGGACGAUCAGCCACACUGGCACUGCGACACGGGCCAGACUCCUACGGGAGGCAGCAGUAAGGAAUAUUGCGCAAUGGGCGACAGCCUGACGCAGCGACGCCGCGUGGGGGAUGAAGGUCUUCGGAUUGUAAACCCCUUUCGGCAGGGAAGAUGGAAUGGGUAACCAUUCGGACGGUACCUGCAGAAGCAGCCACGGCUAACUUCGUGCCAGCAGCCGCGGUAAUACGAAGGUGGCAAGCGUUGUUCGGAUUUACUGGGCGUAUAGGGAGCGUAGGCGGUUGGGUAAGCCCUCCGUGAAAUCUCCGGGCCUAACCCGGAAAGUGCGGAGGGGACUGCUCGGCUAGAGGAUG